GAAAUGCGAUAAGUAAUGUGAAUUGCAGAAUUCAGUGAAUCAUCGAAUCUUUGAACGCACAUUGCGCCCUUUGGCAUUCCGAGGGGCAUGCCUGUUCGAGCGUCAUUACACCAAUCAAGCCUGGCUUGGUAUUGGGCGACGCGUCCGCUCCGGUAGCGGACGGGCCCCAAAUGGAGUGUGCGGCGCGGUGCGCUUGGCUGCAGUGUAUGGGAACAUCUCACACUCGCGGUGCGUCACCACGCUCGUCUCUAGACAUCUUCUCUCGGUUUGACCUCGGAUCAGGUAGGGAUACCCGCUGAACUUAAGC
rnacentral:misc_RNA from 1 species